rnacentral:rRNA from 1 species
GUCGAGCGGGGGAAGGUAGCUUGCUACCGGACCUAGCGGCGGACGGGUGAGUAAUGCUUAGGAAUCUGCCUAUUAGUGGGGGACAACAUCUCGAAAGGGAUGCUAAUACCGCAUACGUCCUACGGGAGAAAGCAGGGGAUCUUCGGACCUUGCGCUAAUAGAUGAGCCUAAGUCGGAUUAGCUAGUUGGUGGGGUAAAGGCCUACCAAGGCGACGAUCUGUAGCGGGUCUGAGAGGAUGAUCCGCCACACUGGGACUGAGACACGGCCCAGACUCCUACGGGAGGCAGCAGUGGGGAAUAUUGGACAAUGGGGGGAACCCUGAUCCAGCCAUGCCGCGUGUGUGAAGAAGGCCUUAUGGUUGUAAAGCACUUUAAGCGAGGAGGAGGCUACUUUAGUUAAUACCUAGGGAUAGUGGACGUUACUCGCAGAAUAAGCACCGGCUAACUCUGUGCCAGCAGCCGCGGUAAUACAGAGGGUGCGAGCGUUAAUCGGAUUUACUGGGCGUAAAGCGUGCGUAGGCGGCUUAUUAAGUCGGAUGU